rnacentral:rRNA from 1 species
UACAGAGGUCUCAAGCGUUGUUCGGAUUCAUUGGGCGUAAAGGGUGUGUAGGUGGCGUCCGUAAGUCGGGUGUGAAAUUUCGGAGCUUAACUCCGAAACUGCAUUCGAUACUGCGGUGCUUGAGGGACUGGGAGAGGAGACUGGAAUUCAUGGUGUAGCAGUGAAAUGCGUAGAGAUCAUGAGGAAGACCAGUGGCGGAAGGCGGGUCUCUGGACAGUUCCUGACACUGAGACACGAAGGCCCAGGGGAGCAAACGGG